rnacentral:lncRNA from 1 species
CGGAGCCGUCCUUGUGGCUUUUAAGCCUUCUUGGUUUAAAUUCUUUGAUGGAAUAAAAUGAUUAAUAAUAUAUUCUCUAAUUACUGAAAAGGGAACUCCUACCACAUGGCCAAUUGUGUUUGGUGUCCCUGAAACCCUAAUUGGGAGAUUGACUGGAAGAUUCCUAGUUGAGGAAUGGUGAUGGUAUUCUUUUAUCCACUUUGAGAGAAACUUUGAGAAUGUGAACAGCCACAAAUUUAGAAGUUUCUUUUUUUGCUUUGCUAUAUACAUGGACAAUAAUCCUGUACCUUGCCUGUGAUCUUCCAGAACACAGAUUGGGUUUGUUAUCAGUUAUAUUGAUGGGUUGUCCUCAGAUGGUUGAAGACUGAGGCUGCAGGGAUGAUUGAAAUCUGUAGGCGGAAGAGACAACUGCAA